UCAAAACCCAGCAGCCCACAGUGAUCCCCACAACCCACGGAGGGUGCCUGGCUAUUUCUGGAAUGAAGGACAUGGAAAGCGGGACAAGUUCUGUUUUUGCAGGUUCUUGACUGGCCUCUGUUCUGGCUCCUGGUAAUGCCCCUAUUGUCCUUGAUGGGGACAAAACACUGC
rnacentral:lncRNA from 1 species